CCCAGCUGUGCCUCUCCAGGGCAUACCCAUCGCAGCUGUGCAGCCCUGGGCUGUCUCCAGGACACUCAUCUGUUAACCCUGACUGGCCUGAAACUCACUAUGAUAGACAGAGAUUCCUGUUUCUGCUUUUCAAGUGCUGCGAUUGAAGGUCUCCGAGGAGACUGAUAUAACAACGAAGAGUGAGGAAGCUGCCUCCUGAGGGUUCAUGUCCAGCAGGACAGGGGUGCUAAUCCAGUCUAAACCCAGAAGAUAUAAAACUACACCCAAGGGCAGGGGAGAUCCCUCUGUGUGAAAUGCUUACUGUGUAAGCAUGAUGUUCAGAGUUUGGGUCCCCACACCGGUGUAAAAGCACGGCAUAAUGGCAUGCUGUAGUGGCAUGUGUCUGUACCCCAGCCCAGAGAGCAAGUGAGGGUGACAAGCUGAUUCCACUAGCCAGCAAGUCUAGCUGAAACUGAGCUCUAGGUUCAGUGAGAGAUCCCACUGAAAAAAUAUGUUGGAGAGCAAUAGAGGUCGUGGAUCUCUGGCCUCUAUAUGAACACAAAUGGGGCGCGCAGGCAUACAAACACACAUGUACUCGCAUGCACUCACUACACUACCUGAGCCAUGGUGUGUAUGGACCUUGUACUCUGACCUAAUCGGGGAGUCAGAACGGAACUAAAAAUAGUGACAGUGUAAGUCAGAAAGUUCCUGGCCUGCUGUGUCUGAUGUCAUAGGCCAGUCCAGGCAACCAUGAAACCGUGUUUGAAAAUAAAGACAGGCUGGGAUGCAGUUCAGUGGUGGGGCACCUCCUACAAAACUGAGUUCAGCCUCACUACCACAAUAAAAAGGGAGGGAGGGAGGGAGAGAGCAAGGGGGAGGAGGGAGGGAAGGAAGGAGGGGAGGGCCUAGUUCUGCUGUUGGGAGAGAAGGCCAAUGCUCUGAGACAAGGGUGGAGAUGGAAGCUAAUGUCAAGGCUGGCGUGGUCCAGGGCGGGCAGCUCACACCUGUGCCUCUUCACAUCACCAAGAGUGUGGCGGCACAUCUUAAAAACCGUUAUCAUCACGAAUCUUUAAAAGAGUUACUUUCAUUACUUUAUAUUAUGUGGAUGGGUGUGAGUCUCUGUGUGGGUUUUUGCAGACAGUGCAAGUACCCACGGAGGCCAGAGGUGCCGGAUCCCCUGGGGGCUGGAGCCAUAAGCAGUUGUGAGCCACCUGAUGUGGGUGCUGGGAAUCAAACCUGGGUUCUCUGCAAGAACAACCUAUGCUCUAACUGCUGAGCUCUCUCUCCAGCUGGCCAUAGCAUGUUUUGUAAUCUGGGCCCCAGGCUAGCUGAGCACCAGGGUCUUGAAAAAUAACCAGUUCUGGUAUAAACGGGCUGUGAGCCUUUGAUAUCUGUCUGGAGGUGACUGAGUCAUGUUGCACCUGCGAGUCUUAGUGAUUGUUCUAAGCUUGGCGUUUGAAGGCGUGAGGUCUGGUUUGCAGCUAACCUUUUCAUUGUGAUCUUUUUUACAGCCUGGGAAGGAGCACCACACAGGAAAGGGGCUGUGCAUUUCAACUAGUUCUACCCCCAGCUGUUAAGACACCGGGCAAGACGCCCAGGGAAACAAGGUUUUGCCUGUAAACUGAAAAGAAGAGCGUCGGGAGGAAAUACCAGGGAUAAUUUGAAGUGGGCAGCUGAAGAAAUCCAGGCUGUCAACACCUUCGAUGAAAAGAACUACUUGGAGUGCCACCGUGGGUCCACCCCCGAGUGGGGGGUGGGGAGGGGUGGGCUAUGGUUGGGAAGCUUUCUGGAGGCCUCAUGCUGGGACAUCAGGUGGCUCACCCCCAACAAGCUGAAACCGGAUAUUGCUGCCAAGUUCCUUGGAAGGCUCAACUUUGCUGCCCUUGAAAAUUUGUAUCUGUAAAAAGGCAGGGUGGGCCUGGUGUGAUGGCGCACGCCUUUAAUCCCAGCACUCUGGAGGCAGAGGCAGGCGGAUUU
rnacentral:lncRNA from 1 species